rnacentral:rRNA from 1 species
GCGUGAGGACGGGCGGUCCUGGAAACAGAGUACUGCACACAAACCGGCUUCACGCUUCCUUCUGGCAGCGCUAUGUUCACUCUUCAGUGAGUGGGUGUAGUGACUCCGGAUCGGUUACUUUGAACAAAUUAGAGUGUUUAAAGCAGGCGUUUGCCUUGAAUACGUUAGCAUGGAAUAACAAAAUGGGCUUUGACUGUCAUUUUGUUGGUUCAGAUGGUCAAGGA